GGGUUGUGAGGUUAAGCGACUAAGCGUACACGGUGGAUGCCCUGGCAGUCAGAGGCGAUGAAGGACGUGCUAAUCUGCGAUAAGCGUCGGUAAGGUGAUAUGAACCGUUAUAACCGGCGAUUUCCGAAUGGGGAAACCCAGUGUGAUUCGUCACACUAUCAUUAACUGAAUCCAUAGGUUAAUGAGGCGAACCGGGGGAACUGAAACAUCUAAGUACCCCGAGGAAAAGAAAUCAACCGAGAUUCCCCCAGUAGCGGCGAGCGAACGGGGAGCAGCCCAGAGCCUGAAUCAGUGUGUUUGUUAGUGGAAGCGUCUGGAAAGGCGCGCGAUACAGGGUGACAGCCCCGUACACAAAAAUGCACAUGCUGUGAGCUCGAUGAGUAGGGCGGGACACGUGGUAUCCUGUCUGAAUAUGGGGGGACCAUCCUCCAAGGCUAAAUACUCCUGACUGACCGAUAGUGAACCAGUACCGUGAGGGAAAGGCGAAAAGAACCCCGGCGAGGGGAGUGAAAAAGAACCUGAAACCGUGUACGUACAAGCAGUGGGAGCACGCUUCGGCGUGUGACUGCGUACCUUUUGUAUAAUGGGUCAGCGACUUAUAUUCUGUAGCAAGGUUAACCGAAUAGGGGAGCCGAAGGGAAACCGAGUCUUAACUGGGCGUUAAGUUGCAGGGUAUAGACCCGAAACCCGGUGAUCUAGCCAUGGGCAGGUUGAAGGUUGGGUAACACUAACUGGAGGACCGAACCGACUAAUGUUGAAAAAUUAGCGGAUGACUUGUGGCUGGGGGUGAAAGGCCAAUCAAACCGGGAGAUAGCUGGUUCUCCCCGAAAGCUAUUUAGGUAGCGCCUCGUGAAUUCAUCUCCGGGGGUAGAGCACUGUUUCGGCAAGGGGGUCAUCCCGACUUACCAACCCGAUGCAAACUGCGAAUACCGGAGAAUGUUAUCACGGGAGACACACGGCGGGUGCUAACGUCCGUCGUGAAGAGGGAAACAACCCAGACCGCCAGCUAAGGUCCCAAAGUCAUGGUUAAGUGGGAAACGAUGUGGGAAGGCCCAGACAGCCAGGAUGUUGGCUUAGAAGCAGCCAUCAUUUAAAGAAAGCGUAAUAGCUCACUGGUCGAGUCGGCCUGCGCGGAAGAUGUAACGGGGCUAAACCAUGCACCGAAGCUGCGGCAGCGACACUAUGUGUUGUUGGGUAGGGGAGCGUUCUGUAAGCCUGUGAAGGUGUACUGUGAGGUAUGCUGGAGGUAUCAGAAGUGCGAAUGCUGACAUAAGUAACGAUAAAGCGGGUGAAAAGCCCGCUCGCCGGAAGACCAAGGGUUCCUGUCCAACGUUAAUCGGGGCAGGGUGAGUCGACCCCUAAGGCGAGGCCGAAAGGCGUAGUCGAUGGGAAACAGGUUAAUAUUCCUGUACUUGGUGUUACUGCGAAGGGGGGACGGAGAAGGCUAUGUUGGCCGGGCGACGGUUGUCCCGGUUUAAGCGUGUAGGCUGGUUUUCCAGGCAAAUCCGGAAAAUCAAGGCUGAGGCGUGAUGACGAGGCACUACGGUGCUGAAGCAACAAAUGCCCUGCUUCCAGGAAAAGCCUCUAAGCAUCAGGUAACAUCAAAUCGUACCCCAAACCGACACAGGUGGUCAGGUAGAGAAUACCAAGGCGCUUGAGAGAACUCGGGUGAAGGAACUAGGCAAAAUGGUGCCGUAACUUCGGGAGAAGGCACGCUGAUAUGUAGGUGAAGCGACUUGCUCGUGGAGCUGAAAUCAGUCGAAGAUACCAGCUGGCUGCAACUGUUUAUUAAAAACACAGCACUGUGCAAACACGAAAGUGGACGUAUACGGUGUGACGCCUGCCCGGUGCCGGAAGGUUAAUUGAUGGGGUUAGCGCAAGCGAAGCUCUUGAUCGAAGCCCCGGUAAACGGCGGCCGUAACUAUAACGGUCCUAAGGUAGCGAAAUUCCUUGUCGGGUAAGUUCCGACCUGCACGAAUGGCGUAAUGAUGGCCAGGCUGUCUCCACCCGAGACUCAGUGAAAUUGAACUCGCUGUGAAGAUGCAGUGUACCCGCGGCAAGACGGAAAGACCCCGUGAACCUUUACUAUAGCUUGACACUGAACAUUGAGCCUUGAUGUGUAGGAUAGGUGGGAGGCUUUGAAGUGUGGACGCCAGUCUGCAUGGAGCCGACCUUGAAAUACCACCCUUUAAUGUUUGAUGUUCUAACGUUGGCCCCUGAUCGGGGUUGCGGACAGUGUCUGGUGGGUAGUUUGACUGGGGCGGUCUCCUCCUAAAGAGUAACGGAGGAGCACGAAGGUUGGCUAAUCCUGGUCGGACAUCAGGAGGUUAGUGCAAUGGCAUAAGCCAGCUUGACUGCGAGCGUGACGGCGCGAGCAGGUGCGAAAGCAGGUCAUAGUGAUCCGGUGGUUCUGAAUGGAAGGGCCAUCGCUCAACGGAUAAAAGGUACUCCGGGGAUAACAGGCUGAUACCGCCCAAGAGUUCAUAUCGACGGCGGUGUUUGGCACCUCGAUGUCGGCUCAUCACAUCCUGGGGCUGAAGUAGGUCCCAAGGGUAUGGCUGUUCGCCAUUUAAAGUGGUACGCGAGCUGGGUUUAGAACGUCGUGAGACAGUUCGGUCCCUAUCUGCCGUGGGCGCUGGAGAACUGAGGGGGGCUGCUCCUAGUACGAGAGGACCGGAGUGGACGCAUCACUGGUGUUCGGGUUGUCAUGCCAAUGGCACUGCCCGGUAGCUAAAUGCGGAAGAGAUAAGUGCUGAAAGCAUCUAAGCACGAAACUUGCCCCGAGAUGAGUUCUCCCUGACUCCCUGAGAGUCCUGAAGGAACGUUGAAGACGACGACGUUGAUAGGCCGGGUGUGUAAGCGCAGCGAUGCGUUGAGCUAACCGGUACUAAUGAACCGUGAGGCUUAACCUUACAACGCCGAAG
rnacentral:rRNA from 1 species